AUUGAACGCUGGCGGCAUGCCUUACACAUGCAAGUCGAACGGUAACAGGUCUUCGGAUGCUGACGAGUGGCGAACGGGUGAGUAAUACAUCGGAACGUGCCCGAGAGUGGGGGAUAACGAGGCGAAAGCUUUGCUAAUACCGCAUACGAUCCCAGGAUGAAAGCAGGAGACCGCAAGGCCUUGCGCUCACGGAGCGGCCGAUGGCAGAUUAGGUAGUUGGUGGGAUAAAAGCUUACCAAGCCGACGAUCUGUAGCGGGUCUGAGAGGACGACCAGACACACUGGGACUGAGACACGGCCCUGACUCCUACGGGGGGCAGCAGUGGGGAAUUUUGGACAAUGGGCGGAAGCCUGAUCCAGCCAUGCCGCGUGCAGGAUGAAGGCCUUCGGGUUGUAAACUGCUUUUGUACGGAACGAAAAGACUCCUUCUAAUAAAGGGGGUCCAUGACGGUACCGUAAGAAUAAGCACCGGCUAACUGCGUGCCAGCCGCCGCAGUAAAAC
rnacentral:rRNA from 1 species